GACGGAGGGGGCUAGCGUUGUUCGGAAUUACUGGGCGUAAAGGGCGCGUAGGCGGCUCUUUAAGUUAGGCGUGAAAGCCCUGGGCUUAACCUAGGAAUUGCGUUUAAUACUGGAGAGCUAGAGAUUGGUAGAGGGAAAUGGAAUUCCUAGUGUAGAGGUGAAAUUCGUAGAUAUUAGGAAGAACACCAGAGGCGAAGGCGGUUUCCUGGGCCAACACUGACGCUGAGGCGCGGAAGCGUGGGGAGCAAACAGG
rnacentral:rRNA from 1 species